rnacentral:other from 1 species
GGCGUUCUGCGCUUCUCGACAGGAGUAACAUUCCCCGGGGCCUUAUUGAUCCCAAGGGAGCUGUCCCUGGCCGGACCCGUGGGUUCGGACACACGGCGCCCACCUACAUUGUAGGCACCCGGGAUCAACCUCUCCACCGGCCGUCGCGGAUCGCCA